UGCCCUAGUAACGGCGAGUGAAGCGGCAACAGCUCAAAUUUGAAAUCUGGCUCUCGGGCCCGAGUUGUAAUUUGUAGAGGAUACUUUUGAUGCGGUGCCUUCCGAGUUCCCUGGAACGGGACGCCAUAGAGGGUGAGAGCCCCGUCUGGUUGGAUGCCAAAUCUCUGUAAAGUUCCUUCAACGAGUCGAGUAGUUUGGGAAUGCUGCUCUAAAUGGGAGGUAUAUGUCUUCUAAAGCUAAAUACCGGCCAGAGACCGAUAGCGCACAAGUAGAGUGAUCGAAAGAUGAAAAGCACUUUGAAAAGAGAGUUAAAAAGUACGUGAAAUUGUUGAAAGGGAAGCGUUUAUGACCAGACUUGGGCUUGGUUAAUCAUCUGGGGUUCUCCCCAGUGCACUUUUCCAGUCCAGGCCAGCAUCAGUUUUCCCCGGGGGAUAAAGGCGGCGGGAAUGUGGCUCUCUUCGGGGAGUGUUAUAGCCCACCGUGUAAUACCCUGGGGGGGACUGAGGUUCGCGCAUCUGCAAGGAUGCUGGCGUAAUGGUCAUCAACGACCCGUCUUGAAACACGGACCAAGGAGUCGUCUUCGUAUGCGAGUGUUCGGGUGUCAAACCCCUACGCGUAAUGAAAGUGAACGCAGGUGAGAGCUUCGGCGCAUCAUCGACCGAUCCUGAUGUUCUCGGAUGGAUUUGAGUAAGAGCAUACGGGGCCGGACCCGAAAGAAGGUGAACUAUGCCUGUAUAGGGUGAAGCCAGAGGAAACUCUGGUGGAGGCUCGCAGCGGUUCUGACGUGCAAAUCGAUCGUCAAAUAUGGGCAU
rnacentral:rRNA from 1 species